rnacentral:rRNA from 1 species
UACGUAGGGUGCAAGCGUUGUCCGGAUUUAUUGGGCGUAAAGAGCGUGUAGGCGGCUAGAUAGGUCCGUUGUGAAAACUCGAGGCUCAACCUCGAGACGUCGAUGGAAACCAUCUGGCUAGAGUCCGGAAGAGGAGAGUGGAAUUCCUGGUGUAGCGGUGAAAUGCGCAGAUAUCAGGAAGAACACCCGUGGCGAAGGCGGCUCUCUGGGACGUGACUGACGCUGAGACGCGAAAGCGUGGGGAGCGAACAGG